GCGCGAGGCGACUCGGGCGGUGGGCGUGACGCACGGGUCGGCGCAGGCGCAGAGGCCGGGGGGAGGCGCGGCGGGCCGUGGGCGAGCCGGGGUCCAAAGGGCGCCUUUCCGUCGAGGAGCGGUCCUGGCGGCUCUGGGCUUCUCCGUCCCUUUUCCUUUCCUUUCCCUGUCUUUGUGACUCUACCUUGUACAAAGAUCAACUUUGCCUCAGAAUCAGCAAACUCUUCAUCUAAGAUUGGUUCCUGUGUGUCAUAUGUUUGGAAGUCAGUGGGAGUUAAGCACAAUACAUACAAGCUGAAAGGUCAAAUAAGGAAAUGAGUUCAUUCUCUUGACAAUUGUGUUUGUACCUGUAAGUUAAAUUCUCUGUUAGCUUAAAAUGGUUGAAUUCUUUAAUUACAGAACACGAUUUAAAUAGCAUAGAUAAUCAUUUUCAAAUCGAUUGAAAAAUUUCAGAGCAUAUUUAAACAUACCAUCUAACCUGUAAUAACCUGUUUACUUGCAUAUUGGUUCUACCAUGAAACAUGCAAAAGUCCCACUAAGUGUCUGUAAAACUAUUAUAGUCAAUUUAAAUGAACAUUGUGGCAGUUAUUAAUUUGCAUUUUAUAUUUCAUUAAAAUCCGACUUGUCUGGCGUAACAUUUUUGGUUUGAUGGUGAGUAUAUUUUCAAAUUUAGGGACUUGAAUGAUAUGGAGAAUUGAAGAUUUUCUUUGGAUGCCAGAGUAGUUUUUUCUUCUCAUCAUUGGAAAUGUUUCUGAAUUUUUUGGCUAUUACUCUGGACUGGAGUCUGUCUGGAAUUUGAGUUAAGUCCCUCCACUGAUGACAUUUAGAGGACCAGAAACAAAAGUAAUAGUUUCAUUGCAUAUGAAGUUACAGAUAUGUAGCCUCUGACCUUGUUGCUUAGUUACCAGUUUUUCUUGAGUCUUUGGCAUACUUUUACAUGUUUUACUUAGACUCUUUUUA
rnacentral:lncRNA from 1 species